rnacentral:tRNA from 1 species
GGAGGGUUGGCAGAGUGGCCUAAUGCGCCGCAUUCGAAACGCGGUUGGGGAUUUCCCCUCGGAGGUUCGAAUCCUCCACCCUCCG